AUCUAGAUGACGAGUUCCAAAUAGGACGAAAUGCGCAUCCUGGAU
rnacentral:hammerhead_ribozyme from 1 species